rnacentral:rRNA from 1 species
UUGGUGCCUUCGGGAACUGUGAGACAGGUGCUGCAUGGCUGUCGUCAGCUCGUGUUGUGAAAUGUUGGGUUAAGUCCCGCAACGAGCGCAACCUUAUCCUUUGUUGCCAGCGGUCGGCCGGGAACGUCAAAGGAGACUGCCAGUGAUAAACUGGAGGAAGGUGGGAUGACGUCAAGUCAUCAUGCCUUACGACCAGGCUACACAGCGUGCUACAAUGGCAUAUACAAAGAGAAGCGACCUCGCGAGAGCAAGCGGACCUCAUAAAGUAUGUCGUAGUCCGGAU